GACGAACGCUGGCGGCGUGCUUAACACAUGCAAGUCGAACGGAAAGGCCUCUUUCGGGGGGUACUCGAGUGGCGAACGGGUGAGUAACACGUGAGUAACCUGCCCUUGACUUUGGGAUAACUUCAGGAAACUGGGGCUAAUACCGGAUAGGAGCUCCUGCUGCAUGGUGGGGGUUGGAAAGUUUCGGCGGUUGGGGAUGGACUCGCGGCUUAUCACCUUGUUGGUGGGGUAGUGGCUUACCAAGGCUUUGACGGGUAGCCGGCCUGAGAGGGUGACCGGCCACAUUGGGACUGAGAUACGGCCCAGACUCCUACGGGAGGCAGGAGUGGGGAAUAUUGCACAAUGGGUGGGAGCCUGAUGCAGCAACGCCGUGUGCGGGAUGACGGGCUUCGGGUUGUAAACCGCUUUCGCUCAUGACGAAGCUUUGUGUGACGGUAGUGGGUAAAGAAGCACCGGCUAACUACGUG
rnacentral:rRNA from 1 species